CAUUACUGAGUUUACGCUCUACAACCCUUUGUGAACAUACCUACAACUGUUGCUUCGGCGGGUAGGGUCUCCGCGACCCUCCCGGCCUCCCGCCUCCGGGCGGGUCGGCGCCCGCCGGAGGAUAACCAAACUCUGAUUUAACGACGUUUCUUCUGAGUGGUACAAGCAAAUAAUCAAAACUUUUAACAACGGAUCUCUUGGUUCUGGCAUCGAUGAAGAACGCAGCGAAAUGCGAUAAGUAAUGUGAAUUGCAGAAUUCAGUGAAUCAUCGAAUCUUUGAACGCACAUUGCGCCCGCCAGCAUUCUGGCGGGCAUGCCUGUUCGAGCGUCAUUUCAACCCUCAAGCUCUGCUUGGUGUUGGGGCCCUACAGCCGAUGUAGGCCCUCAAAGGUAGUGGCGGACCCUCCCGGAGCCUCCUUUGCGUAGUAACUUUACGUCUCGCACUGGGAUCCGGAGGGACUCUUGCCGUAAAACCCCCCAAUUUUCCAAAGGUUGACCUCGGAUCAGGUAGGAAUACCCGC
rnacentral:rRNA from 1 species